GUAAUCUGGCUGUCUUCGAUAGUCCGAGUUGUAAUCUAUAGACGUGUUUUCCGUGCUGGACCGUAUCUAAGUCCCUUGGAACAGGGUAUCAAAGAGGGUGACAAUCCCGUGCUUGAUACGACCACCAGUGCUCUGUGAUACACGCUCUACGAGUCGAGUUGUUUGGGAAUGCAGCUCAAAAUGGGUGGUAAAUUCCAUCUAAAGCUAAAUAUUGGCGAGAGACCGAUAGCGAACAAGUACCGUGAGGGAAAGAUGAAAAGCACUUUGGAAAGAGAGUUAAACAGUACGUGAAAUUGUUGAAAGGGAAACGAUUGAAGUCAGUCGUGUUCUUUGGAUUCAGCUAGUUCUUCUAGUCUACUUCCAUUGAACGGGUCAACAUCAGUUUUGUCCGGUGGAUAAAGAUAGUAGGAAUGUAGCUCCCCCGGGAGUGUUAUAGACUAUUAUUGCAUACACUGGGUGAGACUGAGGACUGCAGCUCGCCUUUUGGCCGGUCUUCGGACACGUUCGAGCUU
rnacentral:rRNA from 1 species